rnacentral:rRNA from 1 species
AUGACGAGGUCACCGUAUGCUAACCAAGAAGACAUGCCGAACAAGUGAGAGGACGCAUCUUUGGACAAGGUGAAGGAGAAAGAUGUCAACAUCCCGCCAUGUUGGUGUGGAGAUGUUUGCAAGGUGAAGGUGUCCACCGACCGAAAGAAAUCCUGGACGGAAGGGCGGAGAUAUUUUGUAUGCCCGAACUAUGCUUAUGAUCGUGCACUUCCAACAAACGCCUAUGACCAACCACCAGUAAGCUCGAGAAGUAAAAUGUUACUCUCAAAUGUGUGUCAACACUAA